AGAGUUUGAUCCUGGCUCAGAGCGAACGCUGGCGGCAGGCUUAACACAUGCAAGUCGAGCGGGCGUAGCAAUACGUCAGCGGCAGACGGGUGAGUAACGCGUGGGAACGUACCUUUUGGUUCGGAACAACACAGGGAAACUUGUGCUAAUACCGGAUAAGCCCAUACGGGGAAAGAUUUAUCGCCGAAAGAUCGGCCCGCGUCUGAUUAGCUAGUUGGUAGGGUAAUGGCCUACCAAGGCGACGAUCAGUAGCUGGUCUGAGAGGAUGAUCAGCCACAUUGGGACUGAGACACGGCCCAAACUCCUACGGGAGGCAGCAGUGGGGAAUAUUGGACAAUGGGGGCAACCCUGAUCCAGCCAUGCCGCGUGAGUGAUGAAGGCCCUAGGGUUGUAAAGCUCUUUUGUGCGGGAAGAUAAUGACGGUACCGCAAGA
rnacentral:rRNA from 1 species